CGACCGCUGGCGGCGUGCCUAAUACAUGCACGUAGAACGCUGAAGGAGGAGCUUGCUUCUCUGGAUGAGUUGCGAACGGGUGAGUAACGCGUAGGUAACCUGCCUGGUAGCGGGGGAUAACUAUUGGAAACGAUAGCUAAUACCGCAUAAUAGCAGUUGUUGCAUGACAACUGUUUGAAAGGUGCAAUUGCACCACUACCAGAUGGACCUGCGUUGUAUUAGCUAGUUGGUGGGGUAACGGCUCACCAAGGCGACGAUACAUAGCCGACCUGAGAGGGUGAUCGGCCACACUGGGACUGAGACACGGCCCAGACUCCUACGGGAGGCAGCAGUAGGGAAUCUUCGGCAAUGGACGGAAGUCUGACCGAGCAACGCCGCGUGAGUGAAGAAGGUUUUCGGAUCGUAAAGCUCUGUUGUAAGAGAAGAACGAGUGUGAGAGUGGAAAGUUCACACUGUGACGGUAUCUUACCAGAAAGGGACGGCUAACUACGUG
rnacentral:rRNA from 1 species